CCUUACAGAACCGGAUGAAGUCAGAGAACUCACUGUAACUGAAAUCACCACUUCCUCUGUUCCUCUGAGCUCCACUGAACCAUUAGGAAAAAGCUCCUCCAAUACAGUAGAAUGGUCAGAUGGAUCAACUACUCUAAAUCCCAUUGUGACUAAUAAGAGCACGACUAUAUCUAACCUGACUACUGGUGUCCUGAAUAACACAAGUGUCACAGCCAUGACAGCAGAUAACCAAACUAAUGAAAAUAGUGCAUUUACCUCCAGUUAUACAAAACCGGAUGAAGUCAGAGAACUCACUGUUACUGAAAUCACCACUUCCUCUGUUCCUCUGAGCUCCACUGAACCAUUAGGACAAAGCUCCUCCAAUACAGUAGAAUGGUCAGAUGGAUCAACUACUCUAAAUCCCAUUGUGACUAAUAAGAGCACGACUAUAUCUAACCUGACUACUGGUGUCCUGAAUAACACAAGUGUCACAGCCAUGACAGCAGAUAACCAAACUAAUGAAAAUAGUGCAUUUACCUCCAGUUAUACAAAACCGGAUGAAGUCAGAGAACUCACUGUUACUGAAAUCACCACUUCCUCUGUUCCUCUGAGCUCGACUGAACCAUUAGGACAAAGCUCCUCCAAUACAGUAGAAUGGUCAGAUGGAUCAACUACUCUAAAUCCCAUUGUGACUAAUAAGAGCACGACUAUAUCUAACCUGACUACUGGUGUCCUGAAUAACACAAGUGUCACAGCCAUGACAGCAGAUAACCAAACUAAAGAAAAUAGUGCAUUUACCUCCAGUUAUACAAGUAAGUAAACAUAGAAACCACUUAAACUUGCUGAGAGAUGUGCAACAAAAUACCUUAAAUUAGUCCUAUACCUAUGAAGGAAAUAGUAGAAAAUCA